rnacentral:rRNA from 1 species
UACAGAGGGUGCAAGCGUUAAUCGGAAUUACUGGGCGUAAAGCGUGCGUAGACGGUUAUGUAAGUCGGGUGUGAAAGCCCCGGGCUCAACCUGGGAAUGCCAUUCGAGACUGCAUAGCUAGGGUGCGGAAGAGGGAAGCGGAAUUUCCGGUGUAGCGGUGAAAUGCGCAGAUAUCAGGAAGAACACCCGUGGCGAAGGCGGCUCUCUGGGACGGUACUGACGCUGAGACGCGAAAAGCGUGGGGGAGCAAA